GGGUUGUGAGGUUAAGCGACUAAGCGUACACGGUGGAUGCCCUGGCAGUCAGAGGCGAUGAAGGACGUGCUAAUCUGCGAUAAGCGCCGGUAAGGUGAUAUGAACCGUUAUAACCGGCGAUUUCCGAAUGGGGAAACCCAGUGUGACUCGUCACACUAUCAUUAACUGAAUCCAUAGGUUAAUGAGGCGAACCGGGGGAACUGAAACAUCUAAGUACCCCGAGGAAAAGAAAUCAACCGAGAUUCCCCCAGUAGCGGCGAGCGAACGGGGAGGAGCCCAGAGCCUGAAUCAGCAUGUGUGUUAGUGGAAGCGUCUGGAAAGGCGCGCGAUACAGGGUGACAGCCCCGUACACAAAAGCGCAUGUGCUGUGAGCUCGAUGAGUAGGGCGGGACACGUGGUAUCCUGUCUGAAUAUGGGGGGGGGGCAUCCUCCAAGGCUAAAUACUCCUGACUGACCGAUAGUGAACCAGUACCGUGAGGGAAAGGCGAAAAGAACCCCGGCGAGGGGAGUGAAAAAGAACCUGAAACCGUGUACGUACAAGCAGUGGGAGCACCCUUUGGGGUGUGACUGCGUACCUUUUGUAUAAUGGGUCAGCGACUUAUAUUCUGUAGCAAGGUUAACCGUAUAGGGGAGCCGCAGGGAAACCGAGUCUUAACCGGGCGUUAAGUUGCAGGGUAUAGACCCGAAACCCGGUGAUCUAGCCAUGGGCAGGUUGAAGGUUGGGUAACACUAACUGGAGGACCGAACCGACUAAUGUUGAAAAAUUAGCGGAUGAUCUGUGGCUGGGGGUGAAAGGCCAAUCAAACCGGGAGAUAGCUGGUUCUCCCCGAAAGCUAUUUAGGUAGCGCCUCGUGAACUCAUCUCCGGGGGUAGAGCACUGUUUCGGCUAGGGGGCCAUCCCGGCUUACCAACCCGAUGCAAACUGCGAAUACCGGAGAAUGUUAUCACGGGAGACACACGGCGGGUGCUAACGUCCGUCGUGAAGAGGGAAACAACCCAGACCGCCAGCUAAGGUCCCAAAGUCAUGGUUAAGUGGGAAACGAUGUGGGAAGGCCCAGACAGCCAGGAUGUUGGCUUAGAAGCAGCCAUCAUUUAAAGAAAGCGUAAUAGCUCACUGGUCGAGUCGGCCUGCGCGGAAGAUGUAACGGGGCUAAACCAUGCACCGAAGCUGCGGCAGCGACACUGUGUGUUGUUGGGUAGGGGAGCGUUCUGUAAGCCUGUGAAGGUGUGUCGUGAGGCAUGCUGGAGGUAUCAGAAGUGCGAAUGCUGACAUAAGUAACGAUAAAGCGGGUGAAAAGCCCGCUCGCCGGAAGACCAAGGGUUCCUGUCCAACGUUAAUCGGGGCAGGGUGAGUCGACCCCUAAGGCGAGGCCGAAAGGCGUAGUCGAUGGGAAACGGGUUAAUAUUCCCGUACUUGGUGUUACUGCGAAGGGGGGACGGAGAAGGCUAUGUUGGCCGGGCGACGGUUGUCCCGGUUUAAGCGUGUAGGCUGGUUUUCCAGGCAAAUCCGGAAAAUCAAGGCUGAGGCGUGACGACGAGGCACUACGGUGCUGAAGCAACAAAUGCCCUGCUUCCAGGAAAAGCCUCUAAGCAUCAGGUAACACGAAAUCGUACCCCAAACCGACACAGGUGGUCAGGUAGAGAAUACCAAGGCGCUUGAGAGAACUCGGGUGAAGGAACUAGGCAAAAUGGUGCCGUAACUUCGGGAGAAGGCACGCUGACACGUAGGUGAAGUGAUUUACUCAUGGAGCUGAAGUCAGUCGAAGAUACCAGCUGGCUGCAACUGUUUAUUAAAAACACAGCACUGUGCAAACACGAAAGUGGACGUAUACGGUGUGACGCCUGCCCGGUGCCGGAAGGUUAAUUGAUGGGGUCAGCGCAAGCGAAGCUCCUGAUCGAAGCCCCGGUAAACGGCGGCCGUAACUAUAACGGUCCUAAGGUAGCGAAAUUCCUUGUCGGGUAAGUUCCGACCUGCACGAAUGGCGUAAUGAUGGCCAGGCUGUCUCCACACCCGAGACUCAGUGAAAUUGAACUCGCUGUGAAGAUGCAGUGUACCCGCGGCAAGACGGAAAGACCCCGUGAACCUUUACUAUAGCUUGACACUGAACAUUGAGCCUUGAUGUGUAGGAUAGGUGGGAGGCUUUGAAGUGUGGACGCCAGUCUGCAUGGAGCCGACCUUGAAAUACCACCCUUUAAUGUUUGAUGUUCUAACGUGGACCCGUAAUCCGGGUUGCGGACAGUGUCUGGUGGGUAGUUUGACUGGGGCGGUCUCCUCCUAAAGAGUAACGGAGGAGCACGAAGGUUGGCUAAUCCUGGUCGGACAUCAGGAGGUUAGUGCAAUGGCAUAAGCCAGCUUGACUGCGAGCGUGACGGCGCGAGCAGGUGCGAAAGCAGGUCAUAGUGAUCCGGUGGUUCUGAAUGGAAGGGCCAUCGCUCAACGGAUAAAAGGUACUCCGGGGAUAACAGGCUGAUACCGCCCAAGAGUUCAUAUCGACGGCGGUGUUUGGCACCUCGAUGUCGGCUCAUCACAUCCUGGGGCUGAAGUAGGUCCCAAGGGUAUGGCUGUUCGCCAUUUAAAGUGGUACGCGAGCUGGGUUUAGAACGUCGUGAGACAGUUCGGUCCCUAUCUGCCGUGGGCGCUGGAGAACUGAGGGGGGCUGCUCCUAGUACGAGAGGACCGGAGUGGACGCAUCACUGGUGUUCGGGUUGUCAUGCCAAUGGCACUGCCCGGUAGCUAAAUGCGGAAGAGAUAAGUGCUGAAAGCAUCUAAGCACGAAACUUGCCCCGAGAUGAGUUCUCCCUGAGACUUAGAGUCUCCUGAAGGAACGUUGAAGACGACGACGUUGAUAGGCCGGGUGUGUAAGCGCAGCGAUGCGUUGAGCUAACCGGUACUAAUGAACCGUGAGGCUUAACCUUACAACGCCAAAG
rnacentral:rRNA from 1 species